CUGAGAGGAUUAUCCCCCACACUGGUACUGAGACACGGACCAGACUCCUACGGGAGGCAGCAGUGAGGAAUAUUGCGCAAUGGACGAAAGUCUGACGCAGCCAUGCCGCGUGCAGGAUGACAGCCCUAUGGGUCGUAAACUGCUUUUAUAUGGGAAGAAACCCCUUCACGUGUGAAGGGCUGACGGUACCAUAUGAAUAAGCACCGGCUAACUCCGUGCCAGCAGCCGCGGUAAUACGGAGGGUGCAAGCGUUAUCCGGAUUUAUUGGGUUUAAAGGGUCCGUAGGCGGGUCUUUAAGUCAGUGGUGAAAGCCUGCAGCUCAACUGUAGAACUGCCAUUGAUACUGGAGACCUUGAGUACAGCUGAAGUUGGCGGAAUGUGUCAUGUAGCGGUGAAAUGCAUAGAUAUGACACAGAACACCGAUUGCGAAGGCAGCUAACUAAACUGUAACUGACGCUGAGG
rnacentral:rRNA from 1 species